GCUGGACGUCAUGAGGAACACAUUAACUGAAGAGCAUGCCGACAGGCACCCGCAGGCCAGCAGGCCAUCAGCUGGCUGAACGACGCAGAGUUUGGCAGAGCAGUUGAAGAGGAAUGGCCGCUGGGUGGCCGGACUCCAGGGGAAAACCAUCUCCCUUCUGGCUGCCUCAUCUGUUGAGAGCUACUUCCACUCAAUAAAACCUUGCACUCAUUCUCCAAGCCCACGUGUGAUCUGAUUCUUCUGGUACACCAAGGCAAGAAACCCUGGAAUACAGAAAUCCCUCUGUCCUCCUAAUAAGGAAGGGUGUCUAAUUGAGCUGGUUAACACAAGCUGCCUAUAGACGGCAAACUAAAAGAGCACCCUGUAACACCUGCCCACUGGGACGUCAGUUGUAAACAUGCACCCCUAGACACUGCCAUGGCAUCGAAGCCCCACAGCCUUGCCUGUCUGUAUGCUCCCCUAGAGAUUUGAGCAGCAGGGUGCUGAAGAAGCGAGCGACACCCCAUCACAUGCCCUGUGAGGGGGACAAGGGAACCUUUUCUGUUUCACUAGGAUGACGAGUGUCUCCUCAACAAAACAAACACCAAUAACAAAAUGAAUAAGACUAUAGUUAAACAUAUCUAGACUCUGGACCCAGAAAUCAAGACAAGAAAGAUAAUUUUGUGCAUAUUGUACAACAUCUCUGAGGCUCAGUUUCCCAAACAUGGAUUCUACAAGUGGAGUAUUGAGUUCAAAUUCCAGUUCUUCUUACCAAUUGUGUGACUUUGUAGUUUAACCUUGUGGUUUCCUCAUUUAUAAAAUUCAGGCAACAAUAGCACCUAUCUCACUAGUUACUGUGGUAAGUAAAUUAGUCCAUGUAUGGAAACUUAAUACAUAGGACCCAGUUAGAAAAGAGUCUCAAAAAGUGCUCAGUACAUGUUCACUGUUUUGUUGCUAUCAUUGUUGUUAUUAUUUUCUCAUCUGUCAAAGAAGAAACAACAAUUCCUACUUCCCUGAACUGUGACAUGUAUACAUUUUCUUGAGUGGUUGGAGAAGAAGUGGUGUUUGAGCUAAUUCGGGA
rnacentral:lncRNA from 10 species